rnacentral:rRNA from 1 species
GACGAACGCUGGCGGCGUGCUUAACACAUGCAAGUCGAACGGAAAGGCCCUUCUUUUGUGGGGUGCUCGAGUGGCGAACGGGUGAGUAACACGUGAGUAACCUGCCCUUGACUUUGGGAUAACUUCAGGAAACUGGGUCUAAUACCGGAUAGGAGCUCCUGCUGCAUGGUGGUGGUUGGAAAUUUUCGGCGGUUGGGGAUGGACUCGCGGCUUAUCAGCUUGUUGGUGGGGUAGUGGCUUACCAAGGCUUUGACGGGUAGCCGGCCUGAGAGGGUGACCGGCCACAUUGGGACUGAGAUACGGCCCAGACUCCUACGGGAGGCAGCAGUGGGGAAUAUUGCACAAUGGGCGGAAGCCUGAUGCAGCAACGCCGCGUGCGGGAUGACGGCCUUCGGGUUGUAAACCGCUUUCGCCAGUGACGAAGCGUGAGUGACGGUAAUGGGUAAAGAAGCACCGGCUAACUACGUG